rnacentral:ncRNA from 1 species
AACUUUUCUCUAGAAGCAUUUUAAAUGCUAUGCCAGUAUUAAUGAGUUAUCACUAAUACCUUAGUGUCUUAUGUACUUUGUGCAUUACUGCUACUCCACAAGAAUAAUAUAUG